rnacentral:rRNA from 1 species
UACGAAGGGAGCUAGCGUUGUUCGGAAUUACUGGGCGUAAAGGGCGUGUAGGCGGUAUCAUAAGUCAGAUGUGAAAGCCCUGGGCUUAACCUAGGAGGUGCAUUUGAUACUGUGAAACUAGAGAUCGAGAGAGGAAAGUGGAAUUACGAGUGUAGAGGUGAAAUUCGUAGAUAUUCGUAAGAACACCAGUGGCGAAGGCGACUUUCUGGCUCGAUACUGACGCUAAGGCGCGAAAGCGUGGGGAGCAAACAGG